AAAGAGGCCUCAUAUUCCACAGCUCUCACUUUCAAUCCCAACAACAUCUCAUCCAACACCUCAAAAACUCACUCUCCCGCGCUCUCGACUUUUUCCCUCCCCUCGCCGGCCGCCUCGCCGCCACCCCGCACGACGGCGACAUGGCGAGCUUCCACGUGGACUGCAACAACGCGGGAGCCGAGUUCACCCAUGCAGUCGCCGCCGCCGUCUCCAUCUCCGACAUCAUCGAGCCGACGUAUCUACCGGAAAUCGUGUCUUCCUUGAUCCCGAUCAAUACAGGCGUUUCUAAUUACCAAGGAAUUUCAAAGCCUCUGUUGGCCGUGCAAGUCACGGAGCUCGCCGACGGCGUCUUCAUCGGCUGCGCAGCCAAUCACGCAGUCGUGGACGGCGCUUCCUUCUGGCAUUUCCUCAACUCCUGGUAGGAGAUCUCCCACGGAUCGGAAUCAAUUUCGAAAUCCCCAAUUUUCGACCGCUGCAACACCGCCGCCGCCGGCGUUGAUAACAGACUCAUCCAUAUCCCUACAUUAGAGGAAAACCUAAUGCUCCAUCUCAAUUGCUGCCGCAGAAGGUAUUCCACUUCAGCAAAAGAAAAUUAGGUGAAUUGAAGGCGAAAGCCAAUUCCGAAGCCGGCACCGACAAAAUAUCUACUCUGCAAGCGCUCAUGGCUCAUCUAUGGCGGAGCACGGUACGCUCUCAAACCACUAAUAACGAUUCAACCACUCGCACCAUGGCAACAGCCAUAGGCGCGAGAGCCAGGAUGUCGUCUUUGCCGGAUGGAUAUUUUGGGAACGCGCUUUAUCCUGCUGCGUUGGCGAUUAGCGAGGGCGAGCUAUUGCAGAAAGGAUUAGGCGCCGCCGCGCUGAGGAUCAACGAGCUGAUCUCUAAGCAAACUGAUGAAGUGAUAAGACGCGGCGCGGAGAAGAAGGUGGACUUUCAGCAUAGGGAGGUGGGGAGUGGGCCCUUUCCUCUUUUCUUCGGAGGUUCUCACCGGCUAGAUGUGUACGGAUGUGAUUUUGGGUGGGGGAAACCGAUUGCUGUGAGGAGUGGGAAGGCGUGGAAUAUGGAGGGGCUGGUCGUGGUGUCUCCGGCGGCGGAAGCCGGCGGUAUCGACCUUGAAGUUUGCUUGUCGGAGGAGAAGUUAGUGGCAUUGGAGGAGUUCAUAACUAGUGUGUAAAUGUUUGUGGCGGUGUUUGCUUGUAUUUGUAAUAGAUAUUGUUGCUAGAUGUUUCAAGGAUUUUCGUGAGGUUGGAUUUCUGUGAAGGGUCUUUUUCGUGUUUUUUGGAUUAAAAAAAAAAAAAGAAGAAUAUUGUUAUUAGAUGUGUGCACAAUUUAAUUUAAAUCGUAAAUUAAAAUGGUUCGAAUUGUGUUUGUUGGAUUUGAUCUGAUUUAUAGUUUAAAAAAUAUGAUUCAAUUUAUAAUUUUUAUAAAAUUAUGAUGUACAUGUUUGAUUUAAAUAUCAUAGAACACAAAUUGAAACGUAGUUUUUCUGAAUAUGAUUAUGUAGAUUAUACUUAGUGAUAUUCUGAUUCUUAGUUUCGUGAAAAUUAAAUUGAUAUCUUAGGAAUAUAUUUUAUUGUUCUUAAUAUUUUAACGAUUUUAUACAUUGGAUUAUGAAAUGUUGGUACUAAAACAUACUCCCUCUGUCCCAAUAUUGUUGGCCACAUUUCCUUUUUAGUUUGUCCCACUAUUGUUGGCCACUUUCCUAAAAUGGAAAUAUUUAUCACAUUCAAUCUCUUACUUUAUCACAUUAUCUCUCCUACUUUAUCACUUUAUUACAUUCUCUCUCCUACUUUAUCACAUUAUCUCUCCUACUUUAUCAUUUUAUUACCUUCUCUCUCAUACUUUAUCACAUUCUCUCUCCUACUUUAUUAUUUUUAUACUAUAUUACCCACACACUUAAAAUACUAAUCUACAACUCCUUAAUUCCCGUGCCGAAACCAAAUGUGGCCAACAAUAUUGGGACGGAGGGAGUAACUAUCAACCUUCAUUUUUCCAAAUGAGAUCCUCUGUCCCAAAAUAUAGUGUGUACCACGCUUCAUUUCUGUAUAUUUUUAUACUAUUUCUUAUUUAAUUUUAAUUUAUUAUGAUUUUAUAUAAUAUAAAGAUAAUUAAUAAGGGUUCACUCAUCCAUUUAGGGUUUAUAAUUAUUUUUUUAUAUUUGUUUGAAUUAAUAAUAGAUUAUUUGGGUUCAUUAAUUCAAAGUUAGGGUAUAUAAUUUUUUAAAUUUUAAUUUUUCAAUGAUAAAUACUAAUUAGAGUUUAUAAUAUAAUAAUAAUUUUAUUUUUAUAAAAAUAAUUUAUAAAAUAAAGAAAUUAAGAGUGGUACACGUGCUACACACAAUAUUUUGGGACAGAGGAUCCCAUCUGUCAUUUUUCACGCUGAUGAAUUUUAUAGUAUUAGAUUUGAAAUCAAAUUAAGGUGAUAUUUUUCAUAAAACAACCAUUAUAGUCAACUUUGAAAAAAAAAACACGAAAUAGACAGCUUAUAUAUAUAUAAACCAAUUCGCAGAAAUUGGUUGGCUUCUCAGGAAGUUUCUCUAUUUAAACUUCUAUUCUACCAAGUUAUUUUCUCUCACACCCAAAAUUAGAAUUUGAAAAUGGCAAAAAAAGUGGAGGUGAUUUCUUCAUCUCUUGUCUGCGGCGCUGCUACUGCUGCUUCAAUGUCAAGUUUAGAGCUUAAUUCAUGGGAUUUGCGUUUAUUCCAUAUCUUCCCCAUUCAAAGAGGCCUCAUAUUCCACAUCCCUCACAUUCAAUCCCAACAACACCUAAUCCAACACCUCAAAAACUCACUCUCCCGCGCUAUCGAUUUUUUCCCUCCCCUCGCCGGCCGCCUCGUCGCCACCCCGCACGGCGGCGACACGGCCAGCUUCUUCGUGGACUGCAACAACGCAGGAGCCGAGUUCACUCAUGCAGUCGCCGCCGCCGUCUCCAUCUCCGACAUCAUCGAGCCGAGGUAUACACCGGAAAUCGUGUCUUCCUUGUUGCCGAUCAUAGGCGUUCACUAAUUACGAAGGAAUUUCAAAGCCUCUGUUGGCGGUGCAGGUCACGGAUCUCGCUGACGGCCUCUUCAUCGGCUGCGCCGCCAAUCACGCCGUGGUGGACGGCAACUCCUUCUGGCAUUUCUUCAAAUCCUGGUCGGAGAUCUCCCGCGGUUCGGAAUCGAUUUCGAGAUCCCCAAUUUUUGACCGCUGCAAUGUCGCCGGCGCCACCGUGGAUAACAUACUCAUCCAUAUCCCUACAUUAGAGAAAAACCUAAUUGCUCCAUGUCAAUUGCCGCAGAAGGUAUUCCACUUCAGCAAGGAGAAAUUAGGUCAAUUGAAGGCUAAGGCCAAUUCCGAAGCCGGCACCGACAAAAUAUCUACUCUGCAAGCACUCAUGGCUCAUCUAUGGCGGAGCGUAGUUAGCUCCCAAACCACCAACGAUUCAACCACUCGCGUUAUGCUAAUCCCCAUCGGCGCAAGAGCGAGGAUGUCGUCUUUGCCGGAUGCCUAUUUCGGUAACGCAUCCUAUCUUGCUGUGUUGUUUAUUAGCGAGAGCGAUCUGUUGCAGAGAGGAUUGGGCGCCGCCGCGCUCAGGAUCAACGAGCUGAUUUCUCGGCAAACCGAUGAAGCGGCGACGCGCGACUUGGCGAAGAAGGUGGAAUUUCACAAGUCUGACGGGAGUGGCGCUCCGCCGCCUCUUGUCAUGGGGAGUUCUCCGCGACACGACGUGUACGGGUGCGAUUUUGGGUGGGGGAAGCCAAUUGGUGUGAGGAGUGGGAAGAUGCAAAAAUUUGAGGGGAUGGUGUAUUUUUUUCCGGCGGCGGAGGCCGGCGGUAUCGAUGUAGAAGUUUGCUUGGCGGAGGAGACAUUAGAUGCAAUGGAGUUCGCAUCUAAUCAUCUAAUCGAGUGAUUAUCUAUCACCUUGAAUGGUAUCAAUCUUAUCUCUCAAAUCUUAUCAAUUUUAUAAUAGAGGAGUGUUGAAUUUUUUCCUUAUAAGUUUCUGUGUGAUUUAAAGGGUGGUUAGAUUUUUUUUUUCAUUUUUUUUCUUCCUAAUAAUAUCUUAUUUUAUAUAUGGUCACUUGUAAUAGAUAGUUUGAAAUGAUUGAUGAGUCUACGUUGAAUAAUAUUAUCUUUGUAUAGUGGUGUGAAAAUAUUUUUGAACAUUUUUCUAUCGUAUCAUUUUUAGUAUACAUAUGACAAAAAAUAAGAAAAAUAUAACAUUUUUCUCAUCUUUUUUAUUCAACAUUUUUCAAUAAAAAAUUUACAACCAAAAUAAUGCAUAAAGUCUACACAAAUAUUGGAUUAUAAAAUGUUGGUAUGAAACACCAUGCAUGCACUAUCAACCGUUUACUUCAUUUUCACGUUAAAUUUGAAAUCGAAGCAAAGUGAUGUUUUUCAUAAAAUAAACCCUAAAGCCAAUUUUGAAAUAUAAAUUAUAGUUAUUUUUCUUAAUAAUCCUGUCACGAAAUAGACAGCUUUAUAUAUAAAAAUGAGUUUGCACAUAACGUGACUCGCAUGUAUAGCUGGCUUCUCAGGCAAGUUUCUCUAUUUAAUUUGUAUUCUACCAAAUUAAGCAAAUUAUCGGUACAAGACUAACACAUAUAUAUCAAAUAAAUUAAGCAAAUUACGCUAGUAUUCAUAUAAUAAUUCUAAAAUCUAACAUAUAAAUUAAAUAAUUUUAUAAAUAAAUUGCAAAAGACUAACUUCCUAGCAAAAUCCGGCCGUUGACAAAAAUUAAGAGGAGGUUGGAGAGAAAUGAGCCAACUGCAACCAAUUCCAAUUAAAUAAAUAUUCAAACUCAUGUAUACGUAGAAAACAAAUAUCUGGAAUAAAACACUUGUUAAAGUAUCUUACCUAAUGUAUAUUUUAAUCUAACAACUAAUAUGUACUAAUAUUGAUAUGAUCAUAUAUAUUACACUUAUAUAUAAUUAACCUAGUGGCCACUCAUAUGACUGUUGAAAAAUGUCAACUAUAUAUAUAAACGUUAUGAAAGCAUAUAUAUAUAUGACGGUUACAAAGUGUCAAAUAUAUUGCCAAAUAUCGUCAUGUUUAGUGUUAUACAUGACUGCCAAAAAGAGUCAAAAAUAAUAUUACAAGUGUCAUGUAUUAUAUAAUAUAAUACUUGACGGUUGCAAACCGUCAAGAAAAGUAAGUAUAGACAAUCAGGGACGGAUUCAAAUUUUUUUAAAACAAAUAUAAAUAUAAAAUACGUUAAAAAAAUUACUCUAUUAGUCCACGAAGAAAGGUCUNNNNNNNNNNNNNNNNNNNNNAAAGUGUACUAAAUAUAUAAUUUCAAAAAAUCGUCAUGUUUAGUGUUAUACAUGACGGCCAAAAAAGCGUUAAAAAUAAUAUUACGAGUGUACUUGACAGUUAACCGUCAAGAAAAGUAAACGUAAAUAAUCGUCAUUUAAUCUAGGAACUAUACAUGACAUCAUUACACUUGACGAUUUGCAAAGGGCAUAGAUGACUGCUUAAAACCAUCAUCUAUGAGCAUAUUAAUUUCUUGUAGUGUGGCUAUGGUUUAUUGAUCUAUAAUAUAAUUAAUUAAAAGUAUUCUCAAAAGGAUGUUUCCUGCACAACUAAAAUUUGUGCAUUUGACAGUUCGAAGAACAUGCCAAAUAUCAUAAAGUGAACAAAACUCCAUAGUUUGCAAUAUUUAACUAAUCAAAGUAAACCUAGUAUUUUCAUAAACUAACUAAAGUCAACUUAAAAAUAAAUAAAUGAUUGUUAUUUUUUUUUCAUAAUCCGAUGAUCACGAAAUAGACAGCUUUUAUAAAAACCAGUUUGUAGAAACAACUCAAGCAAGUUAAUUUCUCUAUUUAAGCAUCUAUAUAUUCUACCAAAUUCUUUUAUACUCACCCAAAUUAAUAGUUGAAGAUGGCAAAAAAGGUAGAGGUGAUUUCUUCAUCUCUUGUCACUGCAACUGCUGCUUCAUUCUCAAGUUUAGAGCUUAAUUCAUGGGAUCUACGUUUACUCCAUAUCUCCCCUAUUCAAAAAGGCCUCAUAUUCCACAGCCCUCACUUUCAAUCCCACCAAAACCUAAUCCAACGCCUCAAAAACUCCCUCUCCCGCGCUCUCGACUUCUUCCCUCCCCUCGCCGGCCGCCUCGCCGCCACCCCGCACGACGGCGACACGGCCACCUUCGUCGUGGACUGCAAAAACGCAGGAGCCGAGUUCACUCAUGCAGUCGCCGCCGCCGUCUCCAUCUCCGACAUCAUCAAGCCGAGGUAUAUACCGGAGAUCGUAUCCUCCUUGAUCCCGAUCAGCACAGGCGUCACGAAUUACGAAGGAAUUUCAAAACCUCUGUUGGCGGCGCAGGUCACGGAGCUCG
rnacentral:lncRNA from 1 species